CGUUUCCGGGAACGGCAAACGGCAGGUUCGAACUUUCUUGGCAAAAUUUCCGUUGAACGUUUUCGUUUCAUAUUUUCUUUCUUGCGUCGAAAGAAUAAUUAUGUAUUUCAGUUUUAAAACAGCAAGUUCAUUUACUCUUUAUUGCCUGAUACCGUAAAAUUUUUCUUUGCCUGCCGUUUGACGUAUAACGCGAAGCUUAAACUCUCUAAUGCAUCAGGAACGCAGUGUUUACUGAAUGACGAUUCGGUGUAUAUGUGAUGCCACUGCCAGAUAACCAAAGGUUGAGCGUUGAUAGCUUGAGCGUUGCCUUGACAGC